rnacentral:lncRNA from 1 species
GCUGAAAAUAAUAUUUACUAUGGCUUAGCUGUGUUAAAAAAAAAAAAUUCAAUUCAUUGUUGUGUAACGAUAACAUUAAGCAGGUGGAUAUAAGAGGACUCCUGGGGAUAGUGAUCAUAACGUCGGUGGUGGUGAUGGAGACAUCGGAGAUGGUGACCGUGGUGGCAGUGGAGAUGGAAAUGGUGAUAGUAAGGUGUUUACAAAAUACUAGAUAUUUGUUACACAUUUUAAUACGAAUUAAGUUUUUUUUUCAAUAAAAAUAUUAAUUAUAAAGGUUUUUUUGAAAUGUUUUUUUACAUGAAAAACUAAAGUAAAU